rnacentral:lncRNA from 1 species
UCAAUAAAUAUAGUCCAUGGCCUCCCGGCUUUGACGGAACCCCCCCGCACUCGUGCGGCAAUUGUAACUUGUGUCAUACAUGUCGAACAGCAUUUGAUUUAAGGAGAUGGCUCGGAGAAACCCAGGAGCUGUUGGAACGAUGGCACAGAAACCCUGGCGCAGAGGACGUGGAGUUAAUGUGACGUGCAAUGGAUAUCGUGUACUUGUGCUCCACUGGGAAUUGCUUUACACAUCAUCACGGCUGCUUCGGUGUCUGGCAACGCCAUUUCGCAAAGCGCAGGAAUGGAAUGCGGGUUUGGUGUUUGAUGCUAUCCCUGUUAAUCUGUGGAGAUGUCUGAAUUAGCCGGGGG